CUUCGUUCUCGUGGCUUCUAGAAUCUUCUAGAUGGUAGAAAAUUGCGCGGUGCGUUGAUAUCUCUAUGUAAUCCCGACAUGUGGGCCUUUCUUCCUUAUUUCCUGAUAACCCCCUGCAGAAACAGAUAAACAACAAAACUCGUGGAAUUCUGUCAGAUCAAACCCUAAUUCUAGGUGUUGUUUGUAUAUUGGUCCUUUCUCUUGUUUAUUUGAUAAUUCAAAUUGAUACUUAAGAACCGUUAACAAAUACCCCCAUACUUAGGCUUUUACUCGUCCUCGAGAAAAGGAUGGUUAAGAACAAUAUUUGGGGUAAAACAUUUUUAAAAUAUUCUCUUCAUAACUGCAAGGUGUUAAAAUCCACUAUGAACUAUAGUCAGGGAAGUAUAUGGUUAAGAGUAGAGAUCCUUUCUUCUCAAUCCUGUCACUUGGAGUUUUUUGUAUAUUUUUGAAAGAAAGUUAGCAUACCUUUUAUCCUCAUAGGUCUUCUCAGAUCACUCAUUAUCUUUUAUAUAUCUUACUGAGGCUAUUUUAAUUUGCAAAAAUUCUCAAGCAUACUUACUUUGCAUUUAUUGCCUGAUCAAAACGGGAUCCGAGGAGGGGAAUGUCAUACUCUUAGAUCAAAGACUUUGGAAAUUAAAAUCCUUGUCAACUCUUGUUGGCAUAUUGCUUAUUAGAAGGACCAUGGGCUAUCAUUUUCUUUUUCUUCUUUUUUUUAAGUGGAUACCGAGGUACCCCUAAUUCUACUGCUGGACGUUUAUCCAUUUUUUCUGCGAGGUUAUCGAGCACUUGCUCCUUUUUAUUUUCUCAAAAUAUCUUCAUUUUUGCAUAGCCCAUGCCUCUAAUGCAAUAAUACUUUGGAAGAGUGAAUCUUUCUAAAUAAAUGUCUUGAUCUUAUGAGCAUGAUAAAUCUCUCAACAAGGGUCUAACUCAUUUUGAACAAACUCAAUACAGAGUAGAUAGCUUUUAUAAUCAUAAUUAAUAUUUUCAGUUUUAUCAGGCAUAUAAAACACUGAGGAUGGUAGCUAGAAUUUUUGAAUAAAUUUUGAAAUAAAUUCUCCAAGCAACAAUGAUAUCAAGAAUAAGAAACUCAUACUUUACCAUCUCACAUUCCAUAUUGACUUAACUAACACAGGGUUUUUAAAAUGAUUUUUCAAUAAUUGCAUGUUUCAGGAAAUAUCAUAGAGUGAGAUUAAUCAUGAUUAGAAACAUUUUAAGCUUGUUAAUUUAUCAUGUCGGAAAAAGUAUUCUGCAUAGUCCAAGAUAUGUGUAUGUGUAAAAUAAAGUGUGCAGAGUGUGUACCUGAAUCGUGGAGUGGUGUAGUCGAAGUGUGUUUGGCAUGUCGAGGGAUCUCCCCCAUACUUGUUUUCUGCUUUCUUGCACAAAAAUAAAGUAGAGACACACGAAACAUAAUAAUAAUAAUAAUAAUAAUAAUA
rnacentral:lncRNA from 1 species